rnacentral:rRNA from 1 species
GAUGAACGCUGGCGGCGUGCCUAAUACAUGCAGGUCGAGCGAACAGACGAGGAGCUUGCUCCUCUGACGUUAGCGGCGGACGGGUGAGUAACACGUGGAUAACCUACCUAUAAGACUGGGUUAACUUCGGGAAACCGGAGCUAAUACCGGAUAAUAUAUUGAACCGCAUGGUUCAAUAGUGAAAGACGGUUUUGCUGUCACUUAUAGAUGGAUCCGCGCCGCAUUAGCUAGUUGGUAAGGUAACGGCUUACCAAGGCAACGAUGCGUAGCCGACCUGAGAGGGUGAUCGGCCACACUGGAACUGAGACACGGUCCAGACUCCUACGGGAGGCAGCAGUAGGGAAUCUUCCGCAAUGGGCGAAAGCUUGACGGAGCAACGCCGCGUGAGUGAUGAAGGUCUUCGGAUCGUAAAACUCUGUUAUUAGGGAAGAACAAAUGUGUAAGUAACUAUGCACGUCUUGACGGUACCUAAUCAGAAAGCCACGGCUAACUACGUG